rnacentral:lncRNA from 1 species
UUUUUCUAGACCUGCGUAAAUUCAGGACCUAUAAAGGUGGUUCUGUCAGAGAUCUCCUCCGAGCCAUGAGAAAUAAGAAGCACCACUACCGGGAGCUGCCUGCAGAGGUGCGGGAGACGCUGGGGUCCCUCCCCGACGACUUCGUGUGCUACUUCACAUCUCGCUUCCCCCACCUCCUCGCACACACCUACCGGGCCAUGGAGCUGUGCAGCCACGAGAGACUCUUCCAGCCCUACUACUUCCACGAGCCCCCAGAGCCCCAGCCCCCAGUGACUCCAGACGCCCUCUGAGCGAGGGCGGCCCCUCUGUUCUGGUGGCCCCAGCUGUGACUGAGGGCCUGGUCACCACAAUUAGAGCUUGAUGCCUCCCGGCUUUGCAGGGAGACCAGGCUUCCCAAACCAAGUGCCUUGAGCUGCCUGCUCUGCAGCCCACAGAGGACAGUGCUGACCCCAGGAAGUGGGAGAAGUGGCCCCUCGUGACCUACAGGGAACUGGGAAGAUGCUGGCCCCAAAAGCCUUACGGUCAUGAUGUCUGCAAAGGAGGGCCUCAGAGACAGCGCGAGUAGCACCCCCAGCCAUCUACUGGAUAAACUUGCUUCAGACUUUUUAAAUUCCUGCUUAAUGUCAGUCUACAGGCCUUUCAGGAAGGGAGAGGAGGGAAUCCUACAUUUUGCUUGCGUGCUGGGACAGCUAGGCUGAGAUGCACCAAGUACAGCCUUCACUGGAGACCGGACUUGAGAGGUGGGGGAUGCUGAGGAGGGGGAGGACGGAGUUCAGAGGGUGUCGUCCUGCAGUAUGAGAUUUCUCAUUGAUCACAGAUGUGCCCAGAGUAGCCCAGGUCACUGUUAACUAGUGUUUCUGCAGAGGCAGCAGGAGCCAUGAGCAUGAGGCGUGGCAUUAGGGACCGGUCAGCUAUGCAUGCUGGCAGGUGUGGUUGUGUCUGCAGGUCUCAGAAAUGAAGAGGCUGCUCUGUUCUGGAGGCAGCUGUGGCCCAGUGCCAGUGGUCAGAACAGUGGCCUUUGGUGGGUGUGUCCCGGGCCAUCUGGGGUGGUGCUCAGGAGCGCCUGGGGCAAGAGGUAAAGAGUUCCCUGGCCUUCAAGGAGAGCAGCGAAGACCCAGACAGGGGCUAGCCUUCAGGACCAGAGGGAGGCCGCCGAAUGGGACCCUCCUGGUCACCAGGAGAAAGCCCUGGGCCAGCGAGUAGGCAGUCAAACUCCUUCGUCCCCAAGGCCGGUGGAACAAGAGGCUCGUGGUGAGUCAGGGCCAGGGUGGGCGGCCAAGGCCAGGGUCACCGUGUGCUUCAUGGGCCAGCUUUUUUGUUUUUCUUGGCAAAUUUUAAUAACUAUAUUUUGAUUAUACUGUAGAAUGCUAUGUCAGCAUAAGUAAGCUAAACUUGAAGCUUUCUUGUGAAGAAUAAAUGCAAGAUAGAAUACAUCUUCUAUUUUUUGUGGUACCAAAAAUCACCAUCCCCUCAAGAGUGUUCAUGUAUAGAACAUUCUCUAAUGCUGAAGAGUAAAACAUUAUAGCAACACUAUGUAAAUGUAUUGAACAGUAUCAAAGAAAUAGUCUCUAAAUUGUUUGUACCAUAUUUUUUUUCUAAACUUAACAUAAUUUUUAGCUUUAGUUUCAGUCAAAACUUUGUCUUUUCUCUCCCGAGAGCCUUAGAGGUUAAAAUGCAAUCAGCCUACCGUGUAAGGAGAUGUUGUCCAUGUACUUUCUCCAGCCAGUUGGGGGAUCAUUGCAGCUCAGGCCUGGUGAACUCAGAGAUUCCAUUCAAUAUUAAGAAUGGGAUUGUUGAAUUUUACUCACAGAGAAAUCACUGUUUCUUCAUGUUGUAAGAUGUUUUCUGUUUGUGUAUUUGUAUCAUGGUUACUCAUCAAAAGCUCUCAUUCUGCCUUUGUAGAAUUCAGUUCCCUUCCUUUCAUCAUAGCUAAAGUGACUUUUUUCCCUACUAUUAACGUGAUCCUACAUCCUUAAAUCUCAUCGAUUACCUCACUUAGGCCUUGGAACCUUGGCCCUUGGUCGGUGUCCUUGGCGUCUUCUAAGCAAGGCUGUGCGUUGUUCAGAAACGUGGCCAGACUGCGUUUCCUGCUGCUCCCAUGCCGCAUGCCAGGUGGCCUGAGACAGAGCUCCCCAUACGGCUGCAAGGUGCUUUACCUGUGGGCUUUGGCAGUAACCCAAGAGAGGAUCAGAAGGUGGAGAAGGUGCCACGAGUGAUUUAACAGGACUGCCACAGGGAGUGCCCCCCGCCCAGCUCGUUCUCAGCACAGGUUUUCUCUUUGGGAGUACCCAGGUGAUUUCUAGUGACCCAAUUUUGUGUCAUCUCCCUGUUUUAGCCCCACUUGCCUAGAGACAACUGUUUCCGAUGCCUUUUCUGCUUAUCAUACUAGUUUCUAACCACCCAGAUUUCUCAAAAUCAUUUAUUCAAUGUAUUUUAUUUGAGCACUUAGUGUAUUGAGCUAGGCAGGAUAUAGGGUGCUGGAGAUACAGCGAUGAACAAGACAGGCAAAACUUCCGCUUUCCUAAAACUUGUGAUGAGAGAGAACAAUAAAAAAGUGUUGCUGCCACAAAGAAACCAAAGUGUGUGGGGAAGGGCGCAUGUUUGCGGUUUACAUCUCUUCUGUCCCAGAAUCACAGGGAUCUGGUCCGGUCACCUCUGGUCUUUCCUCUUAGUCGCCUUUAGGAGCCCUGGUUCCCGUCCAUCCUCUGGGGGGUUUGUUUGAAGAGAUCUCGUGUGGGUACUUGUCAUGAAAACACCUUGGGCAUCAUCUGGUGUACCCAGUUCUAGUCUCGAGAAUUCUGGUUUCCCACUGUGCUCAGCAAGUGGAAAGUUCUUUUCAGGCCAGAACAGCUCUGCACCAUCACAUAUCGUGUUGCGGCUUAGCUGUUUGGUCUGUAGUUCAGGUUAUGGGACUUCUCCAAUCCUGGAAGGCUGUUGAGCUUUUUAGAAGUACUGUACGCUAUCUUCAAGAUGGAGCUUGGUCACAUCUGUUAGGAAUCCAAAGGACACUAUGACUUAUUUAAAUCUUGUCUUACUAAACCUCUCUUGGGCACGUGUGCCAGAAUUUCUCUUGUUGCUUCUUGAGUCUUUUUAAUUUCAGUGUUUUUUCGUUUGUUUUUUGUUUUUUUGAGACAGAGUCUCGCUCUGUCACCCAG